rnacentral:rRNA from 1 species
UACGGAGGGUGCAAGCGUUAUCCGGAUUUACUGGGUUUAAAGGGUGCGUAGGCGGGCCCUUAAGUCAGUGGUGAAAGCUCCGAGCUUAACUCGGAAACUGCCAUUGAUACUAUAGGUCUUGAGUACAGACGAGGUUGGCGGAAUUGAUUGUGUAGCGGUGAAAUGCAUAGAUACAAUCAAGAACUCCGAUUGCGUAGGCAGCUAACUAGGCUGUAACUGACGCUGAGGCACGAAAGCGUGGGGAGCGAACAGG